rnacentral:rRNA from 1 species
AGAGUUUGAUCCUGGCUCAGAACGAACGCUGGCGGCGUGGAUAAGACAUGCAAGUCGAACGGGAUAUGCUUUGUAGUAAUACAGAGUAUAUCUAGUGGCGUAAGGGUGCGUAACACGUGGGCAAUCUGCCGGGAAAUGGGGGAUAGCUUGCCGAAAGGCAAAUUAAUACCGCAUGUGGCGAAGGAGGACAUCCUCCUGUAGCUAAAGUCGGGGUAACCUGACGUUUCCUGAUGAGCCCGCGGCCUAUCAGCUAGUUGGUAAGGUAACGGCUUACCAAGGCUAUGACGGGUAGCUGGUCUGAGAGGACGACCAGCCACACUGGAACUGAGACACGGUCCAGACACCUACGGGUGGCAGCAGUCGAGAAUUUUUCUCAAUGGGGGAAACCCUGAAGGAGCGACGCCGCGUGGAGGAUGAAGGUUUUCGGAUUGUAAACUCCUGUCAUGAGGGAGCAAACUUGCGGGGAGUAACUGCCCUGCAACUGAUAGUACCUCAAGAGGAAGGGACGGCUAACUCUGUGCCAGCAGCCGCGGUA